GUGGAAACAGUGCAGGACGGAAUCUUCAAAGGUGGACUUCGCAAAGCCAGCUCCGGGCACAUGUCAUGGGGGUUAACAGUUACCAACAUCAUCGAACCAGGGUAGUUUGGAACACCAGACAGCGUCGUUGGCUCUCCCUGUGACGGUGGUGAGCUUCUCCGAGGGUGUUGGAGUCAGCAGCAGUUGUAGGUUGCAUAAAAAUGAGAGAAAAGCAUUUAGUAUACUGAUAUCCUGGAGCAGAGGGAUAACAGGGUGUACGGUGGAAUUUCGGAAGAAACGGUGUGUGGGAUACGACUUACCCAUUGGAUGACAGUCAGACGGUCCUGUUUGGUGGCAAUGAAGCUGCACAGAACAAACAAAACUGUACGGAACAGAAUCUUCCAACACUGGCAGACCAGGUUAGAUCUAUCGGUUAUGGUGGAAUCGCGGAAAUAUAGGUCAUAAACAACGGGUGAAAUUACUUUCACAACGGU